CACUGAUGUGCAGAACCCAUGCAGUACACCAAGGACAUGGUGACACUUCCACUUGGGUGUGCACAUAGAUCUUGCAGCCUGGAUAACCAAGAGCACUGCUCUGACCCUUGUGAUGAAGACCACCGUGGGUCUCUUGCCAAAGGCUAAGGCAGCGUCUCCUUCCUGGCAAAGGAGCAGCCUUUUAGCAUGGAAUUGUUAGGUCUGUCUUGCAGUAGAUCUGUAAACCAAAUAGCACAAAAGAGCCUGGAGGCACAGUGCCACCAGCCCUGCAUCCACAUUCUGGUGUGCUCCAGGGAAGUCCUCCUGGCUCAGCUGCAGCAGCCAGGUUGGCAUUGCCUGCAUGGCACUCUGUUCCUCAAUGGCACUUUCAGGAAAACCAGCACCACCAACUUUCUUGAAAUAACUGAGGCAAGUCAGCAGUUUUCCUCAUCAGCCCAGCUAAGUCGACCCCAUGUGUUUCUCAGAAAAGAGGAAUUAAGCUGGGAACAAUUCCCUGACUAAGGUUCAUGCUCCUAUCCCAACACAAGUUCAAGACAGGGGAGAAGAGUGGCUGCUUUUGCACAGUAAAGAAUGGAGAUCCUGCACAUGCUUUAAAUCCCUGACAAUAGACUUUGGAAAAAAACAA